rnacentral:tRNA from 1 species
GCCCAGGUGGUCUAGUGGUUAAGAUUUGGCACUUUCACUACCGUGGCCUGGGUUCAUUUCCUGGUCAGGGAA